GACACAUUGACGAAAAGCAAUUUAGGUGAUCAGCCUCUUUGGAUUAUAAAUAGAACUGUAGAUUCAGGGUGUUUGAGGAUACUUGCAAAUAAUAACGUCCAUAAUAUCCAGGCACGUUGGGAGGAAAACAAUAUGAAACCAAAGUCCGUUUAGAAAUCAAGCAGGGUUGUAUUGGAUAAAGCAAGCUGGGCUGAAUCAGGUUGGUUGUAGGUAAGUAGAGG